rnacentral:rRNA from 1 species
UACGUAGGGUGCAAGCGUUAUCCGGAAUUAUUGGGCGUAAAGAGCUCGUAGGCGGUCUGUCGCGUCUGCUGUGAAAACUGGAGGCUCAACCUCCAGCCUGCAGUGGGUACGGGCAGACUAGAGUGCGGUAGGGGAGAUUGGAAUUCCUGGUGUAGCGGUGGAAUGCGCAGAUAUCAGGAGGAAUACCGAAGGCGAAGGCAGUCUUCCAAGCCGUUAUUGACGCUCAACUGCGAAGGUGUGGGUAUCAAACAGGAUUAGAUA